rnacentral:rRNA from 1 species
AUUGGACGCUGGCGGCAGGCUUAACACAUGCAAGUCGAGCGAGAGGCGUACGGGUGAGUAAUGUCAGGGAAACUGCCUGAUGGAGGGGGAUAACUACUGGAAACGGUAGCUAAUACCGCAUACAAUAAAAUGUGCCGAGAUGGGAUUAGCUAGUAGGUGGGGUAAUGGAUCACCUGGUCGACGAUCCCUAGCUGGUCUGAGAGGAUGACCAGCCACACGGGAACUGAGACACGUUCCAAACUCCUACGGGAGUCAUCAUUGGGGAAUAUUGCACAAUGGGCGCAAGCCUGCUGCAGCCAUGCCGCGUGUGUGAAGAAGUCCUUCGGGUUGUAAAGCACUUUCAGCGAGGAGGCGUUACUCGCAGAAGAAGCACCGGCUAACUCCGUGCCAGCAGCCGCGGUAAUAC